rnacentral:rRNA from 1 species
AGGGAUAGGAGAAUUGGAGGGCAAGUUUGGUGCCAGCAGCCGCGGUAAUACCGACUCCAAGAGUGUGUAUGAGAGAUGCUGCAGUUAAAAAGUCCGUAGUCAUAGAAGGGCAAAGAGAGAUGCGAGGUCUCACAGUGCGAUGAUGGAGGAGCCGAUGGGGAACAUAGUAUACCAGGGCGAGAGAUGAAAUGCCAAGACCCCUGGUGGACUGAGCGAGGCGAAGGCGAUGUUCUUGUAGGCAUUCGGUGAUCAAGGACGAAGGCUGGAGUAUCGAAAGUGAUUAGAUACCGCAGUAGUUCCAGCAGUAAAAGAUGCCGACAUGCUCAUUGGACACAGUGGGCAGGGAGAAAUCUUAGAGUUCGGGCUCUGGGGAUAGUAUGCUCGCAAGGGUGAAAAUUAAAGAAAUUGACGGAGCUACACCACAAGGAGUGGAUUGUGCGGCUUAAUUUGACUCAACGCGAGGAAACUUACCAGGGCCAAGUAUUGUGUAGAAACGAGCAAUACAGGAGUGGUGCAUGGUCGUUGGAAAUUGAUGGGAUGACUUUGACCUUAAAUGGUUGAAUGAGUGAGAUCUUUUGGACAUGUUCCGCACGGAACAGGAAGGAAAAGGCUAUAACAGAUCCGAGAUGCCCUCAGAUGCCCUGGGCUGCACGCGCAAUACAAUAGCAGGUAGAGAUAGAGACAGGAAGGUGCUCAGAUGGACUAUGUGCUGUAAGGCACAUACGAAAGAGGAA